CUCUUUCUCUCAGAGCACGCUCGUUAACCGACCCGCCCUAGGUAUCCUGCCGCCGGAGAACUUUCCAGAGAAACUAACCGAAAGCCUCGUCUCUGUGGCCCCCAGUGGUAUGACUCGAGUUCAGACCAUGGCCUGCGGAUCCUGCUCCAAUGAGAACGCUUACAAAGCAAUGUUCAUCUGGUACAGGAACAAGGAGCGGGGCCACAACACCCCGUCUGAGGAGGACCUCAGCUCCUGCAUUAUCAACCAGUCCCCAGGCUGUCCAGAACUCAGUAUUUUAUCUUUCAUGGGGGGUUUCCAUGGAAGGACCAUGGGUAUGUGAAUUAAGCCUUUUAUACACACACCUGAUGGUU